rnacentral:rRNA from 1 species
UACGUAGGGGGCAAGCGUUGUCCGGAUUUAUUGGGCGUAAAGGGCGUGUAGGCGGUUAGGUAGGUCCGUUGUGAAAACUCGAGGCUCAACCUCGAGACGCCGAUGGAAACCAUCUAACUAGAGUCCGGAAGAGGAGAAUGGAAUUCCUGGUGUAGCGGUGAAAUGCGCAGAUAUCAGGAAGAACACCCGUGGCGAAGGCGGUUCUCUGGGACGGUACUGACGCUGAGACGCGAAAGCGUGGGGAGCGAACAGG